rnacentral:rRNA from 1 species
GACGAACGCUGGCGGCGUGCCUAAUACAUGCAAGUCGAACGAAGCUGUUUUAACUGGUGCUUGCACCGACUUAAACAACUGAGUGGCGAACGGGUGAGUAACACGUGGGUAACCUGCCCCAAAGCGGGGGAUAACAUUUGGAAACAGAUGCUAAUACCGCAUAACCACAGAAACCACAUGGUUUCUGUGUCAAAGAUGGUUUCGGCUAUCACUUUGGGAUGGACCCGCGGCGUAUUAGCUAGUUGGUAAGGUAAUGGCUUACCAAGGCAAUGAGGCGUAGCCGAACUGAGAGGUUGAGCGACGAGAUUGGGACUGAGACACGGGCCAAACUCCUGCGGGAGGCAGCAGUAGGGAAUCUUCCACAAUGGACGAAAGUCUGAUGGAGCAACGCCGCGUGAGUGAAGAAGGUUUUCGGAUCGUAAAACUCUGUUGUCAGAGAAGAACGUGUGCGAGAGUAACUGUUCGUGCAGUGACGGUAUCUGGCCAGAAAGCCACGGCUAACUACGUGCCAGCCGCCGCCGUAA